GAUGAACGCUGGCGGCGUGCCUAAUACAUGCAAGUCGAGCGAACGGACGAGAAGCUUGCUUCUCUGAUGUUAGCGGCGGACGGGUGAGUAACACGUGGAUAACCUACCUAUAAGACUGGGAUAACUUCGGGAAACCGGAGCUAAUACCGGAUGAUAUUUUGAACCGCAUGGUUCAAAAGUGAAAGACGGUCUUGCUGUCACUUAUAGAUGGAUCCGCGCUGCAUUAGCUAGUUGGUAAGGUAACGGCUUACCAAGGCAACGAUGCAUAGCCGACCUGAGAGGGUGGUCGGCCACACUGGAACUGAGACACGGUCCAGACUACUACGGGAGGCAGCAGUAGGGAAUCUUCCGCAAUGGGCGAAAGCCUGACGGAGCAACGCCGCGUGAGUGAUGAAGGUCUUCGGAUCGUAAAACUCUGUUAUUAGGGAAGAACAUAUGUGUAAGUAACUGUGCACAUCUUGACGGUACCUAAUCAGAAAGCCACGGCUAACUACGUG
rnacentral:rRNA from 1 species